CAGUAGCCGCGGUAAUACAGAGGGUGCGAGCGUUAAUCGGAUUUACUGGGCGUAAAGCGUGCGUAGGCGGCUUCUUAAGUCGGAUGUGAAAUCCCUGAGCUUAACUUAGGAAUUGCAUUCGAUACUGGGAAGCUAGAGUAUGGGAGAGGAUGGUAGAAUUCCAGGUGUAGCGGUGAAAUGCGUAGAGAUUUGGAGGAAUACCGAUGGCGAAGGCAGCCAUCUGGCCUAAUACUGACGCUGAGGUACGAAAGCAUGGGGAGCAAACAGGAUUAGAUACCCCAGUAGUCCCUGUCUCUUAUAU
rnacentral:rRNA from 1 species